GCUUCCGCAGCUCAAAGGCAGAGCAUCUGACUUUUUCAUCAGUUGAUUGUGAGUUCGAGUCUCACCGGAGGCACCA
rnacentral:tRNA from 1 species